rnacentral:rRNA from 1 species
AACGAACGCUGGCGGCAAGCUUAACACAUGCAAGUCGAACGGACCAUACGCGCAGCUUGCUGCGUGUAUGGUUAGUGGCAGACGGGUGAGUAAUGCAUAGGAAUCUACCUAGUAGUAUAGGAUAGCCACUAGAAAUGGUGGGUAAUACUGUAUAAUCCCUGCGGGGGAAAGAUUUAUCGCUAUUAGAUGAGCCUAUGUCAGAUUAGCUAGUUGGUGGGGUAAUGGCCUACCAAGGCGGUGAUCUGUAGCUGGUCUGAGAGGAUGAUCAGCCACACUGGAACUGAGACACGGUCCAGACUCCUACGGGAGGCAGCAGUGGGGAAUAUUGGACAAUGGGCGCAAGCCUGAUCCAGCUAUGCCGCGUGAGUGAGGAAGGCCUUAGGGUUGUAAAACUCUUUCAGUAGGGAAGAUAAUGACGGUACCUA